AUCGGAACGUGUCCUCUUGUGGGGGAUAACCAGUCGAAAGAUUGGCUAAUACCGCAUGAGCUCGAGAGGGGAAAGCGGGGGACCGCAAGGCCUCGCGCGAGAGGAGCGGCCGAUGCCCGAUUAGCUAGUUGGUGGGGUAAAAGCCCACCAAGGCGACGAUCGGUAGCUGGUCCGAGAGGACGACCAGCCACACUGGGACUGAGACACGGCCCAGACUCCUACGGGAGGCAGCAGUGGGGAACUUUGGACAAUGGGGGCAACCCUGAUCCAGCCAUGCCGCGUGUGUGAAGAAGGCCUUCGGGUUGUAAAGCACUUUCGGACGGAACGAAAUCGCGCGGGUUAACAGCCCGCGUGGAUGACGGUACCGUAAGAAGAAGCACCGGCUAACUACGUGCCAGCAGCCGCGGUAAUACGUAGGGUGCGAGCGUUAAUCGGAAUUACUGGGCGUAAAGCGUGCGCAGGCGGCGCCGCAAGUCGAGUGUGAAAUCCCCGAGCUUAACUUGGGAAUUGCGCUCGAAACUACGGUGCUGGAGUGUGGCAGAGGGAGGUGGAAUU
rnacentral:rRNA from 1 species